CCUACGGGAGGCAGCAGUAGGGAAUAUUGGGCAAUGGAGGCAACUCUGACCCAGCCAUGCCGCGUGCAGGAAGAAGGCGUUAUGCGUUGUAAACUGCUUUUAUAUAGGAAGAAAUAGUCCUUGCGAGGAAAGUUGACGGUACUAUAUGAAUAAGCACCGGCUAACUCCGUGCCAGCAGCCGCGGUAAUACGGAGGGUGCAAGCGUUGUCCGGAUUUAUUGGGUUUAAAGGGUGCGUAGGCGGUUUAUUAAGUCAGUGGUGAAAGACGGUCGCUCAACGAUUGCAGUGCCAUUGAUACUGGUAGACUUGAGUGGGAUUGAGGUAGCUGGAAUGGAUAGUGUAGCGGUGAAAUGCAUAGAUAUUAUCCAGAACACCAAUUGCGUAGGCAAGUUACUAAGUCUCAACUGACGCUGAGGCACGAAAGUGUGGGUAUCAAACAGGAUUAGAUACCCUGGUAGUCCACACUGUAAACGAUGAUAACUAACUGUUGGCUUUCGGGUCAGUGGUACAGAGAAAUCGUUAAGUUAUCCACCUGGGGAGUACGCCGGCAACGGUGAAACUCAAAGGAAUUGACGGCNGAGAGNGCGAGACGACACGAGGAGGAGG
rnacentral:rRNA from 1 species